rnacentral:rRNA from 1 species
UACGUAGGGUGCAAGCGUUAAUCGGAAUUACUGGGCGUAAAGCGUGCGCAGGCGGUUGUGCAAGACAGAUGUGAAAUCCCCGGGCUCAACCUGGGAAUUGCAUUGGAGACUGCAAGGCUGGAGUGCGGCAGAGGGGGAUGGAAUUCCGCGUGUAGCAGUGAAAUGCGUAGAGAUGUGGAGGAACACCGAUGGCGAAGGCAGCCCCCUGGGUCAAGAUUGACGCUCAUGCACGAAAGCGUGGGGAGCAAACAGG